GCCGCCUAGAGAACUUUCCCGGGAGCCGCCGCGGCCUGCAUGCGCAGGGCACACCCCCAUCCUCCCGCCGGCGCAUUCCCAGCUUGGGCUCCCGCUUCUCCGCCGGCCGGCGCGCCCGCAAGCUCUCUGACUCCCCGCUUCUCAGAAUCUCCCGGAGGAGCAGCACUCCGCUGCCACAGCAAGGCGUUCUCGGAGAGCGAGCUUGAACUUGGCCACACACAGUCCCCCAUGAUGAGUUCCAGGGUCUCCAAACGGGAGCCGCGCCCCACCAAGAGCUGACUUGCACUCGCCAGUGUCGGACUGCGGGAGGGGCCGCGGCGCCCCCGCCUUCGGAGGAACCCGAGCCGCGGGAUGCGCGGGGACGCGCCGCCGCCCUCUGCGCUCAGUUCCGCCGGCGCUUCCCCGGCGGCUCCCGGGCGCUGACUCCCCCGGCUUCUCCACCCUCCUUACCUCCAGCUGGCGCCAGGCGGCUCGUCCGCGUGGCCCUGGACCCCACCGGGAACCGGUCCUCUCGCCCUGCCCGCCGCGCGGACAAUAAAUUAAUGCCUCGCGCUUGAGGGGAGGGGGCGGCUCGGCGCCUUGGUCGCAGCUUUCUCUCCUGGCUGGAGACGGCCACAGCCGACAUGGGCUGCUUCUGCGCUGUUCCGGAAGAAUUUUACUGCGAAGUUUUGCUUCUGAAUGAAUCCAAGUUAACCCUCACCACCCAGCAGCAGGGCAUCAAGAAGUCAACGAAAGGUUCUGUUGUCCUUGACCACGUAUUCCGUCACAUAAACCUUGUGGAGAUAGAUUAUUUUGGGCUGCGUUACUGUGACAGAAGCCAUCAGACAUAUUGGCUGGAUCCUGCAAAAACCCUUGCCGAACACAAAGAACUGAUCAACACUGGACCUCCAUAUACUUUGUAUUUUGGUAUUAAAUUCUAUGCUGAAGAUCCAUGUAAGCUUAAAGAAGAAAUAACCAGAUACCAGUUUUUCUUGCAGGUGAAGCAAGAUGUCCUUCAGGGCCGGCUGCCUUGCCCUGUCAACAUUGCUGCUCAGCUGGGAGCAUAUGCCAUCCAGUGGGUCAGACUCCUUCUGAAGCAGAGCUGAAUUACUUGAGGACUGCCAAAUCCCUGGAGAUGUAUGGCGUUGACCUCCAUCCUGUCUAUGGGGAAAACAAAUCUGAGUAUUUCUUAGGAUUAACUCCAGUUGGUGUUGUUGUCUACAAGAAUAAAAAGCAAGUGGGGAAGUAUU